GUGCGGUCCCCCCCCGUCACCAAAGGGCCGCCCUUGUCAAUGGCUGCAGGUUUGCUCUUCACAGGGGCAUUCGUGUUUUAUUCAGGAACGAGGCCUUACGUGUGAGGAAAUCUAGCGGGGGGAUUAGGAGGCACCAGCUGUCAGCAGGUCUGAGUGGUGUCUUGGGGUCGCUCCUCUGAGCACCUGCAAAGGCUUCCUCAGGUGGGCACGGGAGCCCCCCAGGGCGGCCUCCCCAGGCCCCGCACACACUUGAACUCUGUAAAGCAAGUGGGUGCCCAUCCGCUUCCAUCCAUCACGCCGAUCAGCAAACCUCUAAGAUGUACCCCCUUUGUCUGUUUAUCAGUUAUUGACAGCCUGCAUUCAUACUUCUGCACUAAUAUGUUAGGCACAUUAUACAAGGUACACACAUAGGCAUUUUAAAA